CGCUGAGUCACAGGAUUGCAACAUCCUCUCCUUGGGCUUUGAGACCAGACACCCUCUGCCCCAGGCACGGCCUUGAUCAGACAGAGGCAUCCGCUUUCUGGAGGACGGGAUCUGUGACGAUGGACUUUGGAGUCAGACAAUGGGAGCACGAGCGUUGUCUCUGCCUGGGUGGCUUUGAGAGGCAUCUGAUCGCUCUGAGCCUCAGUUUCCCCACCCUCUGAGUCACGAGAACGGUAACGUGAUGGCUGAGAGGCUCCGGUGAGUCAGCGGCAAGGCCUUGGGCACACUCACCUGGCACUGAUAUGUCAAACUCAUCCAUCAGGAGGGAGACAAAUCCGGGUCUACCCUUCCCGUCUUCCGGUUUCCGGCUGGGUGGCCUCCAAGCCUGUGAGGCUGGUCUGUGAGCUAUCAUCCCCUGCCCUCCAGCACGUUCCCAGGAGAGGGAGGACCUGGGGACGUGUCUCCACCACCGGACUUUGUGAAAUCGGGUGGCCAGCCAGGGAAGCAGCUUUGGUUUGCCCAUCCGGAAAACGUGAGGCU